rnacentral:pre_miRNA from 1 species
AGGAGCAACAGCCCUAGUGGCGGGGCCAGCUCUGGAAACCUGGAUUCAGCCCCCGCAGGAACUCCGGAGCUCUCCGUCUGCAGGGCCUGGAGGCUCCGGGCGGGG